GACAAUCAAAACUGCUGAAAGGAUUGUCGGUACCCCCCUACCCAACCUUGAGGACUUGCACGCUGCCAGAACUAAGACAAGAGCUUGCAAAAUCCUCUCGGACCCUCCGCAUCCCGGUCACCAGCUCUUCCAGCUCCUUCCCUCAGAGACAACAUGGCUUGGUGGGUAACUCGGCACUAGUGAACCGGGCAGUGCCGACCGUCUAAAUUCCCCGGCUUCCUUCUACCGUGCCGCUGUCGUCGGGUGCCGUGUUCGCCUGUGACAUUAUGUCACCAACAAUGAGGGUAAGUUGACUUGUGUGCUUAUUGUUAUGAUUGUAGUCUACAAUGCCCAUUCAAUUUUGAAGUUAAGCCACUAACGUGAUUUUCCAUCAUAUAAACUAUAACCCCGCAUUAUUGGCACAGCCGUCACAGGACCCUUGAAUAACAAUAAUAAACAAAUAAACUAAACAAAAAAUGCUUAAUUCAAUAGAUUAGCCAUUUUUCGUGCAUUCAUGAAAAUACUAAAUUCUAAAUUUGUGUGACUUUUUCUCCUUUUACCUCUUGUUUUUCCAUCAGUACGCUUCCACUCUCUUCGUGCAUAUAAAGUAUCGUAUAUGUUUGUUGCUUGGCUCAAGCAAGAAGAGAAGCACAAAAAAGUACAAAUAGCCAAGCCAAAUAGCACUCAACGCGCCCGGCUGUCAAACUACUGAAGUUUGCAGACGACACCACUGACAUCGGCCUCAUCAAAGACGGUGGCGAGUCUGCAUAUCGACAGGAAGCGGAGUGGCCGGAGCUGCGGUGCGGCCGACGCAACCUGGAGCUGAACACGCUCAAGACUGUAGAGAUGAUCGUGGACUUCAGGAGGCCUCCUUCGCCAUAGCUGCCCCUCACGCUUUCCAACUGCCCUGUGUCAACCGUAGAGACCUUCAAGUUCCUGGGAAUUGAAGAGACCUGAAGAGGGCGAUCAACAUCAACUCCGUCCUCAAAAAGGCCCAGCAGAGGAUGUACUUCUGAGAAAGCACAGCCUGCCGCGGGAGCUGCUGAGGCAGUUCUACACAGCGGUCAUCGAAUCGGUCCUGUGUUCUUCCAUCACAGUCUGGUUUGUGCUGCUUCAAAAAAGGACAAACUCCGACUACAAUGGACAAUCAAAACUGCUGAAAAGACUGUCGGUACCCCCCUACCCACCCUUGAGGACUUGCACGCUGCCAGAACUAAGACAAGAGCGUGCAAAAUCCUCUCGGACCCUCCGCAUUCCGGUCUCCGGCUCUUCCGGAUCCUUCCCUCAGGAUCCUUGACAAAAGACUAUAAUUUUGGAUCUCGUUUGACUGAUGUGGUGCAUUGGAAGUCCAUGGGUUUGUGAUGUCUGACAAGAAGGAUCACCUCGUGAACAUGUAAACUGCUGCCUUGGCAUCUAGCCGCUGACUGGCAUGCGAGCAGCCAUGCAGUGUGUUUGUGUUCAGGUAGGUGUAUGUUGCAUUUUUCAUGACAGUGCUUGGUUUCAUUUUUAUACUUGUGCCGCAGUCCAUGUUAACAAAUGAGGUGUUUCUCCUAAGUCAAUAAACUGUCAAGGUUGGAGGUUGACCAUUGAGCAAAGUAAGCAGACUCGCAUACACAAACAAACAGGUGCGUUGAGAGAUUCCUUCAUUUAUUACAGAUACCCUUUGACCUUCCAAAUUUGAUUGCCAUCAAGAAAAAAUUGAACUGCGUAGGAGACAAAAGAUAGAUACAAAGAUACCACUGGAAGUCAGCUAUUUUCUCAGACGAUUCUUAAGAUUUUGGAAAAGACAUUUUUGAAGAUUGAUGCGAUGGUGGUUGAGUUGAUUAGUGCUCGUGUGCUUCUUUGAUGCAGACAAAGAAAUUUAGGUCAGUGCAUUGGUCAUCAUUCCAUGCCUC